UCAAGAAACUUCCACAAUGGGCGAAAGCCUGAUGGAGCGACGUCGCGUGAUGGACGAAGUGCUUCGGCACGUAAACAUCUUUUAUGUGGGAUGAAAUUAUUGACAGUACCACAUGAAUAAGGGGCUCCUAACUCUGUGCCAGCAGGAGCGGUAAUACAGAGGCCCCAAGCGUUAUCCGGAAUCACUGGGCGUAAAGGGUGUCGAGGCGGUUGUAUUAGUCGUUCGUAAAAUCUACGAGCUUAACUUGUAGGCGGCGAACGAAACGGUACGACUUGAGGUUUGGAGAGGUGCGUGGAACUCACGGUGUAGGGGUGAAAUCCGUUGAUAUCGUGGGGAACACCAAAGGCGAAGGCAGCGCACUGGCCAAAAUCUGACGCUCACACACGAAAGCUAGGGUAGCGAAGAGGAUUAGAUACCCCCGUAGUCCCUGAGCGGGCUGGCAAGGC
rnacentral:rRNA from 1 species